GAAAAACUGAGGUUCAGAGAGAAGGCAUCUGCCUGCCCCCAUCCUUCUCCCUUCCAUGUUUGGCCUGCUUUCAUUGCCCAGGGGUCCUGAUAUAAAUGCUCUCCCUCCUAGCACCCUCCUGCCCUCCUCUCAAACAUCCCAUUCCCCCCAUCUCAGCCCAGUUCUUCGGGAAGGGGACUGCUCUAGGGCAUCCCCAACCGUUAUCCCCCUCUGCCCCAUGGAAGUCCGAUCAUCAAAUGUUUAUCCCCAGUCCAUAAGGGACAGGAAAGUAGGGACUGUUCCUUCCCUAGCACCCCAUAGAUGGAGGAAAGCCAAUCCUCCCCAUAUGCCCAGACCCACUCGUCUGCCCCACCCACCCUGCCACCGAUUAAAAGCACAACAGGGUGACACGCGUGGGUCUCUCGCGACCCCCGCCUCACCCCUUUGCCUUGCUCUCUUGUCUCCACCCAGCCUCUGUUACCCACCACCCAUCUUUCUCUCUUCCACAAACCCCAAAAUGUAACCUCUAGUUGCGGACGCGGUUGUUUCAAUCAAUAAAGAUGCAGUGUUCUAGAA
rnacentral:lncRNA from 1 species